rnacentral:tRNA from 1 species
AUAGCUCAGUGGUAGAGCACACGCUUACCACGCAUGAGGUCCUGGGCUCAAUCCCCAGU